rnacentral:lncRNA from 10 species
CUCUUAGCCAGGUGGCAGAUUCUUUCGCUGUGCCCAAUUAGCUGCUGCCGCGCCUUGGAGUCCGGAGUAACUUGGCCAGGCUGGCCCCGAGCGGAACUGGAGAAAGCUGAGGGUGAGGAAUCCGGCUCCGGUCCUUUUGUGUGUGGAGGGCUGAGGAGAGGAGUUUGCGUGUGUGAUUGCCAUGGUUGCCGUGGGUCUUCGUGGUCUGUGACUGUGGCUGCGUGGUGCUGACUCUGGGUGAUCAAGUGGGCGCUUGUGACUGUGCGCGCUCGGAGUGGAUGUGUGUGUCCUGGACGAGCCGCGUUGUGUGUGCGGAUGUGGACAACCGGUGACUGUGUGGUUGGGGCUGCGUGUCCCAGGGUGGAUGUGUGACUUUGCGUGUGUGUGCAGUACUGUGUGUGCGUGAGUUGCAGGUCUGUGGCUGUGCAGGUGCAACUUGUGUGGCCCCGUGGUCUGUGUGAGAGAGGAGAGUGUGACUGGCUGUGAGGCAGAGGGUAAGUGGAUAUAGGGAGGCAUGUGUGUGAUUGGAACUUUGUGUGUCCCCUUGAGAGAAAAAAACCUUUAGGGAGUUAGAGCGGGUCCUUGGUAAAACUCCUUUAAACAGAGAAACAGCCAGAAAAAUCAGGCUGCAGGCACAGAGAAGGAAAACUAGCAAAGGGGGUUGUCCUAAAGACAUUCCUCAGCUGCACUGAUAAGGGACCGAGGCCCAACAUAGAAAUGCCUUUGUCCUUUGUGUGACCAGCGGGCUUCCAGGAAAUAGUCGCUUUUUUGUGGGCAUGUAUACAGUGGGCUCUGUUAGAUUUUGAAGGGAAGGCGAAGGUUAAAGAAAGAGAGUUGGCGGCUCUAUGGAGGGGACCAACUAAAUGCCAGAGCCCACUGCCGCUUACAAGCUGGAGUAAUUAUAGGCCUGGGCAGGAGGGGUCUGGGCAGUAUAGCUUGUUGCCUGGGAGAAUGUUGGUAAGGAUGUUUCUUGGGCCUUUCCCCAGCAGGAUGUGAUAAGGAAGUCAGGCGGUUGGGGAGGAUGUUUCUCGCAGCCCAAACCCCAGUGGAAUGUUUCCCUCUGAACAGGGUCUGUGAAAUGGUGGGGGCUUACAAAUCGGUGCAGCUUGGACUAACAGGCUCCGGCGGCCACUUUGUUUUCUGGACAUGCUUUGGACUGUGAGCCGAGCCUCUAUGAAUCAUCACUUCAGCCUCUGAUUGGUCCUGGGCCAAACUUUCACUUCAGCCCCUGAUUGGUCUUGGGCCAAAAUUUCACUUCAGCCUCUGAUUGGUCCCAGGCUAAGGUCCCGGGCCAAGCGAAGUCGUGCUAUCUCCAAGACAGCUCACAGACCAGUGAGCACAUUCUUCCUCUUCCCAGUUCACAAAACCCCCAGAUUCAGCCUCCUAGUUGGCAACCCUCUUUCGGGUCCCCUCUCUGCUGGGGAGAGCUUUCUUCUUUUGCUUAUUAAACUUCUGUUCCAAACUCAUUCUUUGUGUCCACGUUCCUUAAUAUUCUUGGCUGUGAGAGAAAGAAGGCAAAGACAAGAGCCUUUAUCCUAACAACUCAAUUGUUGGAGAGAAGAUUCAUGCAUAUUCUAUGUGGCAUCACACGCCAUAGCCCUGGGAUUGAAAGCCAUGCAGUUUAAGGGAUGGUGUUAAUCUCAGUCCAAAUAGGUAAUAAGAUCUUUCACGUUGCUAUAUUUUAGGGGUAGGAAUGAGAUUGGGGGUUUGAUCAAUAGUUUGUACCCAUAGGACCAGGGAUUUGCCCAGUCAUCUGUGAGUAAAUGCUUGGGCCAGUU